rnacentral:lncRNA from 1 species
AGAGUUAGCAAAGAGUGGUAAAAGUGAUGCGAACAAAACUCUGAAUGUAUGAUCCAUUACAUGAUUCUCAAGCCCCUAAGUGAGAUAAAUUAAGUCCAGAUUAAGUUCAAGUAUAUAAGAUUAAGCUCAAUUCAUCCAAAUUUCAAAGAGAUAGGGACUACUAUAAAGCGAUCAAGUGAUGGAUUUUCCUGAACUUCCAAGUCAUCAGCGAGUAAAGCUAAAAUGGUCCCAAAGGCAAUUAAAUCAAACAUGGUGCAAUUCCCUAAGAAAAGAUCAUAGUUCUCAGACAACAUUUUGACUCAAUAAAAGACAUGAUUUUGACUCGAUAAAACAAACUCGAUGACUCAAAAGAAAAACAUCAAAAAUGCAAACUAGAUUAGUAGACAAGUGGCAGCCUCCCCCCGACUUGCUUCACACCGACUCGGCGUGAAAACAGUUCAAAGAAAAGGUGCCACACGGACGCAAGAAAAUAAAAAUAAAGAGAAAAGAAAAAUGGUAUAUAACAAGGGAAGAGGGUGAGUUACUGUAGUACUCAACGGUGGUGGGUGGGGCUCUCGCUAGAGCUCUGCUCCCCUGGCUGUCUCCUGCUCCUGCCUAAGCGUGUGUCUGGAGAAUGCUCUUGUGAACGCUGCGAAGUCGAAGCUCUACUCUGUCCAGCAGCAGGGAUCAACCUCUCAGCAUGUCGAUCCCCGGCAACGGCGCCAACUUGAUUGCUCGAGUAAUUAACUCAAUACACUUAACCGAUAGGCAGUAUAUUCGAGGUCGAUCCACAAGGACCAAAGAUACUCUAAGGAUUUUCGAGACUUGUUCUUAGCUAAAACUAAAAAGUUGUUUUGUUUGAGUUUUCCGAAUUGUAAAAUAAAAAUGCAAUUAUUAAACGAUUUAAGUUUCAAGAUUUAAAGACAUUAGGCAUUAGGGUAUUUCAGAGAUCAAUAAACAAUGGAAACAUGGGACAAAGAAUUCAACAAUUACGAACCGUUCUUGAACAUGAACACAACUUAGACUAAUUCUCUUUCAAGACAUUAAUCACUAAAUUUGACUACUCGAUUACUAAACUUUCGCAUGUAAUUUCCUAGUCAAAUUCGCAUUAUCAAACAAGUUCAUUUAGUUCACAAUGCGUCCUAACUUCAACUUUCGUUGGCUAGAAAUACAUUGCUCAAUUCACAUUCUUUCAGGCAUUCUAUCGAACACUUUUGAUGCAUAGAAAAACCUAGGUUCUACAACAGGGUGAUCAAUCCUAUUCUAGCAUUAAGAACAUGUGAAUCAAAGAACCUAGAGAAUGAGAAUUCCAAACAACAAUUAAUCCAUUAAUCUAUCGAAUCUCCUAAUUAGAACCCUAACACCUAAUUAAAAGACUACUCACACAUAGCAACAGAAACAAGACAAAUAGAUGAAGAAGUCAUAAUUGAAUUGCAAUGAAAAUAAGAAAUAGGGUUUAGAAAUCUUCUCCAAAUUGUCAAAGAGGAUGAAUCUCUAGAAUCCCAAGGUUGCUUACAAGAGAAAAGUCUUAGAAAAAUUGCAGAAAGAAAACGUCCCAAAGAAAAUUAGGUCUCUGGGGUUUUUAUACCCAAGUACAAAAAAAGGAAGACAAAACCCGGUUUAGGAAAACCGUCUCGGGACGUCGAGGCUCGGAUCGAUCGAUCCCAUGGGUGGAUCGAUCGAUCCAGAUAUGCUGAAUCAAUUGGUCUUGGACGGAUGAGGGUUGGAUCGAUCGAUCCCCUCCUGGGAUCUAUCGAUCUCGAGCUACUGGAACUUUUGGCUUCAUCGUCACAAUUGGGAUCGAUCGAUCCACGCCUUGGAUCGAUCGAUCCCCAGCUCCUGGUGAUCUCUUGUACCGUUUCUCCAUUGUUUUAGCUCCGAAUAGGCUCAAUCAUGCACAAGAUGCUCCGAAUCCAGCUCGAGCACCUAUAACCUGCAAAGGACUCAAGACACAACCGAAAAGACGCAAAAGACGGAUUUUGACACGAUAGAUGACUCAAAACAUGGACUAAACCAAGACUCGAAACCGUUAAAAACGCAACACAUCAAACUCCCCCCGACUUAAAUCUUUGCUUGUCCUCAAGGAAAGCAGAAAUCCUUAUCAAGAGAAGAGGUUUGAAAACACGAGAACUCACAUUUUCUUCGGGAUCAUGUUCUAUCAAUUGCCUGCAAACCACUAUCACACAACUCAUCAAACCGUACUAGACUGUACUUCGCCAUAACCGUAGCAACAAAAUUAAGUCCCGAAAUCUAAAAGAAUUUUCAGAAUCAGAUAACUUAACCUUUUAACAUUCAUUAGCAGUGGCGUGUAUUCUCACAAAGGGGGUAUCGAACACGUUAUGGGCUUGGUCAAAAAGGGCUAAUAUUUAGUGGCUCAAGGUGUUUCGGGUACUCAACAGUAUAAACGGAUGCACGUCAUUAUGCGAAAUCACAGUGAGACACAGACCAACUAGGAGGUACAUAGCUUCCCUUAAGCUCGGAUCAAAUCAACAAACAUAUUAUCCCAAUCAAACCAAUGACUACCCAUGAUGCUUAACAAUAUAACCAAUGGUAACUCGACAUUUCCGGUUCCAAUCACUCUCCUUUCCCGCUUCUUCUUUUCAUUUUCGUUUUUUUUUUUUUUUUUUUGAAGCGGGGGAGUGGAACCGGUGUCUCACAAAAAUCUGCAUCAAGAACAAUCGCAAACAGCAGCAUACACCCAUGAAUAUAACCUCUAAACCACAAUGGCUCAAUCUCAUCACAUAUCGACAACCAGUAAACUACAACUCACUAUCCUAACAAAAGGAAAGCUAUGUCGGUCUGUAUACUCCGUAGUUUUCGCACAUGGAUGCAUAUCAUGACGAUCAUAUAAGAAUGCAUGAGGUUUCAAACAAUGGGUGGGGAAACAGGUGCGGUACUAGACUAAAAAUGAGUCUAGCCAUUCAGAGUUAGCAAAGAGUGGUAAAAGUGAUGCGAACAAAACUCUGAAUGUAUGAUCCAUUACAUGAUUCUCAAGCCCCUAAGUGAGAUAAAUUAAGUCCAGAUUAAGUUCAAGUAUAUAAGAUUAAGCUCAAUUCAUCCAAAUUUCAAAGAGAUAGGAACUACUAUAAAGCGAUCAAGUGAUGGAUUUUCCUGAACUUCCAAGUCAUCAGCGAGUAAAGCUAAAAUGGUCCCAAAGGCAAUUAAAUCAAACAUGGUGCAAUUCCCUAAGAAAAGAUCAUAGUUCUCAGACAACAUUUUGACUCAAUAAAAGACACGAUUUUGAUUCGAUAAAACAGACUCGAUGACUCAAAAGAAAAACAUCAAAAAUGCAAACUAGAUUAGUAGACAAGUGGCAGCCUCCCCCCGACUUGCUUCACACCGACUCGGCGUGAAAACAGUUCAAAGAAAAGGUGCCACACGGACGCAAGAAAAUAAAAAUAAAGAGAAAAGAAAAAUGGUAUAUAACAAGGGAAGAGGGUGAGUUACUGUAGUACUCAACGGUGGUGGGUGGGGCUCUCGCUAGAGCUCUGCUCCCCUGGCUGUCUCCUGCUCCUGCCUAAGCGUGUGUCUGGAGAAUGCUCUUGUGAACGCUGCGAAGUCGAAGCUCUACUCUGUCCAGCAGCAGGGAUCAACCUCUCAGCAUGUCGAUCC